rnacentral:rRNA from 1 species
AGAGUUUGAUCCUGGCUCAGGACGAACGCUGGCGGCGUGCUUAACACAUGCAAGUCAAGGAGAAAAUUUUCUUCGGAAAAUGAGUAAACUGGCGAACGGGUGAGUAACACGUAGGCAACCUGCCCUAGAGAUUGGGAUAACUUCGGGAAACCGGAGCUAAUACCGGAUAAUGCAGCGGGUCCUUCGGGACAUUGUUGUUAAAGCUGGCUUCGGCUAGUACUUUAGGAUGGGCCUGCGUCCGAUUAGCUUGUUGGUAGGGUAACGGCCUACCAAGGCGAUGAUCGGUAGCUGGUCUGAGAGGAUGAUCAGCCACACUGGGAUUGAGAUACGGCCCAGACUCCUACGGGAGGCAGCAGUGGGGAAUUUUGCGCAAUGGGCGAAAGCCUGACGCAGCAACGCCGCGUGACCGAUGAAGCUUCUAGGAGUGUAAAGGUCUGUCGUGAGGGAAGAAAAAUCCGGAUGUAAAUAAUGUUCGGACGUGACGGUACCUCACAAGAAAGCACCGGCUAACUUCGUGCCAGCAGCCGCGGUAAUACGAGGGGUGCUAGCGUUGUCCGGAAUCACUGGGCGUAAAGGGUCCGUAGGCGUUUUGCUAAGUUGAUUGUUAAAUCCAUCGGCUCAACCGAUGAUCUGCAAUCAAAACUGGUAGAAUAGAGUUCGAGAGAGGAAAGUAGAAUUCCUGGUGUAGCGGUGACAUGCGUAGAUAUCAGGAGGAACACCAAUGGCGAAGGCAGCUUUCUGGCUCGAUA